rnacentral:rRNA from 1 species
GGCUUACACAUGCAAGUCGAGCGGUAGCACAGGGGAGCUUGCUCCCCGGGUGACGAGCGGCGGACGGGGAGUAAUGUCUGGGAAACUGCCUGAUGGAGGGGGAUAACUACUGGAAACGGUAGCUAAUACCGCAUAACGUCGCAAGACCAAAGAGGGGGACCUUCGGGCCUCUUGCCAUCAGAUGUGCCCAGAUGGGAUUAGCUAGUAGGUGGGGUAAUGGCUCACCUAGGCGACGAUCCCUAGCUGGUCUGAGAGGAUGACCAGCCCCACUGGAACUGAGACACGGUCCAGACUCCUACGGGAGGCAGCAGUGGGGAAUAUUGCACAAUGGGCGCAAGCCUGAUGCAGCCAUGCCGCGUGUGUGAAGAAGGCCUUCGGGUUGUAAAGCACUUUCAGCGAGGAGGAAGGUGGUGAGCUUAAUACGUUCAUCAAUUGAUUUUUCUCGCAGAAGAAGCACCGGCUAACUCCGUGCCAGCAGCCGCGGUAAUACGGAGGGUGCAACCGUUAAUCGGAAUUACUGGGCGUAAAGCGCACGCAGGCGGUUUGUUAAGUAUAGAUGUGAAAUCCCCGGGGCUCAACCUGGAUACUGCUUUUGAAACUGGCAAGCUAUAUUCUCGUAGAGGGGGGUAGAAUUUCCUGGUGUAGCGGUGAAAUGCGUAAGAUUUGGGAGGAAUACCGGGUGGCAAAGGCCCCCCCUCUGGAC